AAUUCCCUUUGAUUCAGUCUAUCAGGUCGACUUCUUGAUCUACUAAAGUGGAAGCUGAAGUAAUUUCAAGAACCCUUACCUCUCUUGACCAACCUAGCUUCCUAAUCUUGCUGCAGACUUAAAAAUCCUAUUUCGUGUAUCAAAACUGAUACUGGCUUUCUUCCAUUUUGCAGGGCUGGUAUAACCGCCUUAAUCCCGCACUCUGUCUCCCAGGAAACUGAAAUGGCUUUGUGUUCACAUCGCCUGAGUCUUGAGCGGUCAGCGGACUAAUUUCACAAGAUCAAGUGCCAAAGGACAGCGCCUGUGGCCUCAUGGCUCACACGUAGUGGGGAGGCCGGCCCUGCCUAGGUGAGGAACCAAACGAAGCAUGUUUUCUGGCUGAACCCAACCACUAAAAGAACAGAAGGAAGACUGGGUACCCGGAACUGGAAGGUGCGGCGAGGCCAGAGGGGCAGAUCUUGCAGGAUUAUGUGGUAUUCUGAGACAAAUGUAUUCCCACCCCUGGGAAGCCAUGACAUGGUCUCAAACAAGGCAAAGUCAGCACCAGGCAUCUAUUCAAGAGAAACGAAGUCACGUGUCCCCACAGUGACUCAGACACAUAUCCACAGCCAUUUCAUUCACAACAGCCCCAAACAGGAAACAAUCAGAACGUCCAUCAAUGGGUGAGUAGAUACAGAAAUUGUAGUGUGUCCGCCCCAUGGAAUGCUACUCCCCUGGCUAUUGAUCGAUAACCACAUGAGUCAGCCUCACCUCAUUCUACUGGGCGAAAGAAGCCAGCAAAAGAUACACGCACUAUGACUCAUGUAUAUAAAAUGACUCAUGUAUACAAAAUGCAAACAAAUGGGAAGACCUAUCAGUGGUCACUUGAGGGUGGGCGGGUAAGAGGUGAAUUUCAAAGGGCAGUUAGGAAACUGUGGGAGGCAACAGAAAUUAUUAUCUUGAGUGUACUGAUGGUUUCUACAUAUAUAUCAAAUUGUAUACUUUAAAUACGUACAGUUUAGCACACUUCAAUUAUAUCUCAAUAAAACUGGAAAAACAUUAACUCAAGGAACCGGAAUGAAACAUUCUGAGAAGGAGAGCCCCACCUCCACACUGGCUCUGCAUUUCCGCCUCUUUUAACCCAACUUCUAAUUUUAGACAGAAAAUAAUAAAGAAAGGGAAAGACACCAAAGUGAGA